GACCAGGACAGCAAAAAGACAAUGAGCCAGGGGUGGGGAGGGGGGGCUAGAUCGAGAGGCUACAAGCCAAGAAUUCAGGGAAGGCCACAUUCCAACAGCUGCUGCUGCGGCGGCCGCCCGUGGGUUAAUAGGAAAGGGAAAGAGCAAUAUCAGCUGAGUAAUGGAAGUGACUCGGCACAGUGUGUCUCCUCCGUGCCUGCCGAGCGAAUGGAUACAAAGAAGCGAGCGGCAGAGACGGGCAGGAUGCGCCCAGGGAGAGAUGGCACCCCAGGCAGGAACAAUGUUUCUAUACCAGUUGCAGUUUCCAGGCGAAGUUCCCCUUUAAUAAAGGCAAUAAAAUGCAGAUGUGCUACAUGGACAAGCCUGACUGCGGAAUUCUGCCAAGUAUAUGAAGAUCCUUCCCACCCUUAAAGAAAAAGAAAUAGUUAUCCAGCUGCAGGGAGAGCCUAUAUACAGCGGAGCCCAAGCGCCAGGGAUCUCCCUCCGGCCAGAAAUUCCCGAGCCGAGAUGUUGUAUACAAAACAGCGCGCUGUGUAGCCUGCAGCACGAAAACACUUCACUUGACUGGGGGACACGCCGAGUGUGACGAAUUGGAACCAAUUACAGUGAAGUGCAACAACAAAUAUCCCAGUUUGUCACCGUCUGUCAUUGUCACAAGCAAAUACUGAUCCUAUGAUAAUUAAUAUCAGUGUUUCAUUUGCAGUUCCCUGCACUCUGGGGCCACUGAGGCUUGAAACCUGCCCCCUAUGGAGCAUAGAGAUUCUAAGGGGUGUCACGGUCUUUCACUCACAUGGAAGAACUGACAUUUUAUAACCCCUUAACUGCCAUUAUUUGUAGAAUAACAAUUGAUUAUUAAACGAUUAUGUCUUAUGCCACUAGGUGGCGCAUACAGUUAAAACAAUGUGAUCUGCUGAAAUCCUUGGAAUGUGGCAUUGCUGUAAAAGCAGCAGGCACAAUAGAAGCAGUCUAACUAUUCCCAAUAAGCUAACAAUAUCAUGGAGCUUUAAGUCAGACCAGGAGACUGUAUGGUCCAACCAUGGCUGUCAACUUGGCCACUGGAGACCCUAGUUGGCCAAAUAAUCCUGCUGGGCAAGGACUACAUAGGCUCCUACAGUGAUUUGAUCAGUGGGCCAUGGUACAAAUAGCGGAAUUAAAUCAAGCCAAGAUCUGCCUUAUGGUGAAUCCUUAGCUGUGUAUGGUGGAGAAUGCGGAGUGGCUCAGAUUUCUUAUCACAAUAAGGAUUUUUUUUUAAGACGACAACAGGGCAUCCCCUGUCAUCCUAUUUUUAGACAGAUUUGUGUUACCAGUUCACACAUUUUAAGAUAAACUUCACUCUAUGCUCAAUUUACCUGCGUUUACAAAAACGGGCCGACUGCCAGCACCCGCCAAGAGCCGCCUUGUCAGAAACAGGUCAACCGAGCGCAGCCCCGGGCCCCUCCCUUUAAUGAACUCGAAUCUAGCAAGGUGACUGAGGCUUUACAGCUACAGCAGACUACAACUCCCAGCAUGCUCCGUCUCCCAGCAGCAGCUCACCGUAAGCCAAUGUGCAGGUAAGAGAAUAAUACGGCAGUGCUUCCAUUUUAAUAUAGGGCAGGAAUUGAGAGCUUGAAGCUCUCCCAGCUGGGAGUUGUUACCCAGGAUGAUCGGGAGUAGCCCUAUUUGUGUAGGCAAAUACCUGCCCUUCUCUUGUUUCAAUGCUAAAUUACCCUGCCUUUGUCAUGUUACCACCACGGCCCUUUGGGGGACUCUGGGCACGGUGCCCACCUCGUUUUAUUCCUAUGCUAAAAACAGCAGCCAAAGUCCCCACUAAUUGCAGUGAUUCUCCCCUGAAAUGUCCCUGUGUGCCACCCAUAGAUGGGUAUUUUAUUGUAUAGAAUAACGAGGGCGGCCCCGAGAGACUAAUUGCCCGAGUCCCCUGGCACUGCAUCAAAGCGCGUCUGUACCGAACGACUGGUAGAGGUGUCUCCCCCGGGGCAGCCAAGUCUUGGCACUCUUUUAAAGGAAAAGCAAACCUAAUAUAGUAAAUUAAAGAUGUAUAUAAGUAAUAGGAGGGUUGGGUUGCAGCACCUAGUACCGCCGAGUAUCUUUACCAUGCAUCACCGGACACAGCAGGACUAAUGGGAACUGAAGUACAGCUGGAGAUUAUGGCAAUAAUACAGAAACAAAAGCCCUAUACACUAAAGAAGCUUACAUUUUAAAGGGGAACUAACCCUGCUCUUUUCUUUUUAACUACUAACCCCUCUGAACUAGAAGUCACAUGCUCCUACUCAGAGA